AACGAACGCUGGCGGCGUGGAUUAGGUAUGCAAGUCGAACGCGAAAGAGGGGGUAACUCCUCGAGUAGAGUGGCGAACGGGUGAGUAACACGUGAGAAACCUGCCUUCAGCAGGGGGAUAACACUCCCAACGGGGUGCUAAUACCGCAUGAGACCACGGAUUCGCAUGGAUCGUGGGGUCAAAGGUGGCCUCUGCUUGCAAGCUACCGGCUGAAGAUGGUCUCGCGUCCCAUUAGCUAGUUGGUGGGGUAAUGGCCCACCAAGGCGACGAUGGGUAGCUGGUCUGAGAGGAUGGUCAGCCACACUGGGACUGAGAUACGGCCCAGACUCCUACGGGAGGCAGCAGUCGAGAGGCUUUGGCAAGU
rnacentral:rRNA from 1 species